ACCAGCGCUCAAGACAGUGCGAUUAGGAAGGCUUUUUGCUUGCAUGACAUUUUGUUAUGCGUUCCUACUUGCUAUUCAUUGAGCGCAGAAGAAUGUGCUGGAUCUUUUAAGAGCUUGUGAACUUAAGAUUUUCCUACUUGUACACGAGUGUCAGAGGAUCCAUAUAUG